rnacentral:rRNA from 1 species
CUAUGACGAUGUUGUCGGCGAGGAAACCCGCUGAACUUAAGCAUAUCACUAAGCGGAGGAAAAGAAACCAAUUUGGAUGC